rnacentral:rRNA from 1 species
UACGUAGGGACCAAGCGUUGUUCGGAUUUACUGGGCGUAAAGGGCGCGUAGGCGGCAAUUCAAGUCAGUUGUGAAAUCUCCGAGCUUAACUCGGAACGGUCAACUGAUACUGCUUUGCUAGAGUACAGAAGGGGCAACCGGAAUUCUUGGUGUAGCGGUGAAAUGCGUAGAUAUCAAGAGGAACACCUGAGGUGAAGACGGGUUGCUGGGCUGAUACUGACGCUGAGGCGCGAAAGCUAGGGUAGCAAACGGG